rnacentral:rRNA from 1 species
AAUCAAGCGCGAAAAGGGCGUUUGGUGAAUGCCUUGGCAGUAAGAGGCGAUGAAGGACGUGAUACUCUGCGAUAAGUUAUGGGGAGCUGAGAAUAAGCUUUGAUCCAUAAAUUUCCGAAUGGGGCAACCCACCUGAUACUUUGUUAUUAAUACUACUUAUUGUAGUGCCGUUUAAGGGUUCGCCCUUGGGUAGCGUUGCAUGCGGUGGGGCAUAAUAAUAGGGUAAACCAGGUAUUUAUAACUUGAAUACAUAGGGUUAUAAAAGCAAACCCGGGGAACUGAAACAUCUAAGUACCCGGAGGAAAGGACAUCAAUUAGAUACUCCCCUAGUAGCGGCGAGCGAACGGGGACCAGCCGAGCCAUGAGUGUGACUAGAAUGUGUUGGAAAGCACAACCAAAGUGGGUGACAGUCCCGUAUAGGAAGCAUGAUUGGACGUAUUAAGUAGGGCGGGACACGUGAAAUCCUGUUCGAAGAUCGGAGGACCACCUCCGAAGGCUAAGUACUCCUUACUGACCGAUAGUGAACCAGUACCGUGAGGGAAAGGUGAAAAGCACCCCGACGAGGGGAGUGAAACAGUUUCUGAAACCGGACGCCUACAAUCAGUUGGAGGGCCCUUGCGGCCUGACAGCGUACCUUUUGUAUAAUGGGUCAUCGACUUAGUGUAUCUAGCAAGCUUAAGCCGUUAGGUGUAGGCGCAGCGAAAGCGAGUCUUAAUAGGGCGAUUGAGUUAGAUGCAUUAGACCCGAAACCGAGUGAUCUAGGCAUGACCAGGUUGAAGGUUGGGUAACACCAACUGGAGGACCGAACCCACAUCUGUUGAAAAAGAUCGGGAUGAGUUGUGCCUAGGGGUGAAAGGCCAAUCAAACUCGGAGAUAGCUGGUUCUCCGCGAAAUCUAUUUAGGUAGAGCGUCAUCCGAAUACCCCGGGGGGUAGAGCACUGGAUGGGUAAUGGGGCCCCACAGGCUUACUGAUCCUAACCAAACUCCGAAUACCCGGGAGUAAUAGAUGGCAGACACACUGCGGGUGCUAACGCCCGUAGUGAAAAGGGAAACAACCCUGACCGACAGUUAAGGCCCCUAAUUCAUGGCUAAGUGGGAAAGCAGGUGGGACGACCAAAACAACCAGGAAGUUGGCUUAGAAGCAGCCAUCUUUUAAAGAUAGCGUAACAGCUCACUGGUCUAAUUAAGUUGUCCUGCGGCGAAGAUGUAACGGGGCUCAAGCCAUGAGCCGAAACUUCGGAUGCAUUUAAUGCAUGGUAGCGGAGCGUAGUGUGACAUAGUUCCAUGCGUCCUUCGUUUUAUAGCGGACUGCCCAGGCUUUCGAGCCUGUAUGGAGGCGCGUAAAAUACUGGACGCAAGGAGCUUUCUGUGAAGCCGGCCUGUGAGGGAUCCGGUGGAGAGAUCACUAGUGAGAAUGAUGACAUGAGUAACGACAAAGGGGGUGAGAGACCCCCUCGCCGAAAAUCCAAGGGUUCCUGCUUAAAGCUAAUCUGAGCAGGGUAAGCCGGCCCCUAAGCCGAGGGCGAAAGCCGUAGGCGAUGGGAACCAGGUUAAUAUUCCUGG